rnacentral:rRNA from 1 species
UACGUAGGGGGCUAGCGUUGUCCGGAUUUAUUGGGCGUAAAGAGCGUGUAGGCGGCCAGGUAGGUCUGCUGUGAAAACUCGAGGCUCAACCUCGAGACGUCGGCGGAAACCAUCUGGCUAGAGUCCGGAAGAGGAGAGUGGAAUUCCUGGUGUAGCGGUGAAAUGCGCAGAUAUCAGGAAGAACACCCGUGGCGAAGGCGGCUCUCUGGGACGGUACUGACGCUGAGACGACGAAAGCGUGGGGAGCGAACAGG